rnacentral:rRNA from 1 species
UACGUAGGUGGCAAGCGUUGUCCGGAAUCACUGGGCGUAAAGCGCGCGCAGGCGGCGAUCUACGUCUGGGGUGAAAGCCCGGAGCUCAACUCCGGGACUGCCUUGGAUACGGGAUCGCUUGAGGAUUGGAGAGGCAAGGGGAAUUCCACGUGUAGCAGUGAAAUGCGUAGAGAUGCGGAGGAACACCGAUGGCGAAGGCAGCCCCCUGGGCUAACACUGACGCUCAGGCACGAAAGCGUGGGGAGCAAACAGG